rnacentral:rRNA from 2 species
AGAGUUUGAUCCUGGCUCAGGAUGAACGCUGGCGGCGUGCUUAACACAUGCAAGUCGAACGGGAAAUACUUCAUUGAGACUUCGGUGGAUUUGAUUUAUUUCUAGUGGCGGACGGGUGAGUAACGCGUGGGUAACCUGCCUUAUACAGGGGGAUAACAGUCAGAAAUGACUGCUAAUACCGCAUAAGCGCACAGGACCGCAUGGUCCGGUGUGAAAAACUCCGGUGGUAUAAGAUGGACCCGCGUUGGAUUAGCUUGUUGGUGGGGUAACGGCCCACCAAGGCGACGAUCCAUAGCCGGCCUGAGAGGGUGAACGGCCACAUUGGGACUGAGACACGGCCCAGACUCCUACGGGAGGCAGCAGUGGGGAAUAUUGCACAAUGGGGGAAACCCUGAUGCAGCGACGCCGCGUGAAGGAAGAAGUAUCUCGGUAUGUAAACUUCUAUCAGCAGGGAAGAUAGUGACGGUACCUGACUAAGAAGCCCCGGCUAACUACGUGCCAGCAGCCGCGGU